rnacentral:rRNA from 1 species
UACAGAGGGUGCAAGCGUUAAUCGGAAUUACUGGGCGUAAAGCGCGCGUAGGUGGUUCGUUAAGUUGGAUGUGAAAUCCCCGGGCUCAACCUGGGAACUGCAUUCAAAACUGUCGAGCUAGAAUAUGGUAGAGGGUGGUGGAAUUUCCUGUGUAGCGGUGAAAUGCGUAGAUAUAGGAAGGAACACCAGUGGCGAAGGCGACCACCUGGACUGAUACUGACACUGAGGUGCGAAAGCGUGGGGAGCAAACAGG